GAGGGUAUAGCUCCGUGAUAGAGCACAUGCUUAGUUAGCAUGCAUGAGGUCCUGGGUUCAAUCCCCACUACCUCCA
rnacentral:tRNA from 1 species